GUGGGGAAUAUUGGACAAUGGGCGCAAGCCUGAUCCAGCCAUGCCGCGUGAGUGAUGAAGGCCCUAGGGUUAUAAAGCUCUUUCAGUGGGGACGAUAAUUACGGUACUCACAGAAGAAGCCCCGGCUAACUUCGUGCCAGCAGCCGCGGUAAUACGAAGGGGGCUAGCGUUGUUCGGAUUUACUGGGCGUAAAGCGCACGUAGGCGGAUCGUUAAGUCGAGGGUGAAAUCCUGGAGCUCAACUCCAGAACUGCCUUCGAUACUGGCGAUCUUGAGUCCGGAAGAGGUGAGUGGAACUCCUAGUGUAGAGGUGGAAUUCGUAGAUAUUAGGAAGAACACCAGUGGCGAAGGCGGCUCACUGGUCCGGUACUGACGCUGAGGUGCGAAAGCGUGGGGAGCAAACAGGAUUAGAUACCCUUGUAGUC
rnacentral:rRNA from 1 species